rnacentral:lncRNA from 1 species
UAGAUCCAUCUAGCGAAUGUCACCAAACCAGAGAGGGCUUCCUGGAGGAGGUGACGCUACCCACAGGCCUCAGUGAGAGGCAAAAACCCGGAGAGUAAAGAAAAGGGAUUUAAGAAGAAAUGGUCCAGUGUUUCAAAGUUUCUCUCUCCCAAGUGGCUUCUUGCAUCCCAGGCAUCGAGAACUUUCUCCACCAAGAGUUUCAGAGACCCCUCCUGGGUGUGUGUCUUCCAUCAAGACUGGAGAAAGUUGAUGAGUGUGGGCGGCAGCCAGGACUGGCGUUUCUAAUUAACACGCAGGCAGGGAGAAUGCCUCUUCUUCCAGAGUCUGUAUUCAGCUGAUUGAAUAUCAGGGCUGGGGCUAAACUAUGAAUCGUGUGUCAAAAAUAAAGCCGGCGGUCUUCUCUUGUUAAAGGAACAGUGUCCCUGUUUCCAGUCCUCUGCUGGCUGGGGGAAUCGGAUGGCGUGUGGCUUUGAUCCUUGGGGCUGGGUGUGGGGACUGUGGGCUCAGCGUAGGGAUGAGAAAGGAGGGGCACUCAGGGAGUGGCGGGAUGGGCACCGGCUCAGGUUGGGAACCGCCAGAGGAAGGCAGAAAAGAACCCCAGGUAACUUGCAAGAUAUCCAUGCUUCCCCAGAAAGAGUAAAAUACGGGGUCAAAGGUGUUAACGCCUCAUCCUGCCAUCAUGAACAAAGUACCAUGCCCAGAUGGUCUUACAGGUGAGUUCUACAAAUAUUAAGAAGCAGAAGCUUCUUGUAUUACAUAAGUUGUUCCAGAAAAAAAGAAAGAAAAAGGAAAGCUACCCAAUUGACAUUUUGAUAGCAAGUCUGGAUAAGAGCACCAGAAAAUAGUCACUAGUAAUCUGAGAAAUGCUAAAACCUAAAUGGGAGGAAGUGUAUUUCUAUCUGCUUGAUAAAACCCAGAAAGUUGAGAACAUUAACAGCCAGUGAGCACGUGGGAAAAUGAAAGCCCUGAUGCAUGUUGGGGGUGGGGGCUGCAGUUUGAGGAGUAGUAUGCCAGCAUUUUAUGACAUGUAAUGUUUGCAUACAUCAUACUGCAGAAAUCCAAUUCCUGAGUAUUAACGCCAGAGCACCAGCCACACAGAUAUAUAAAAAUACCUAUGUUAGGCUGUUCAUCUCAACGUUGUUAGUGUAGG